rnacentral:ncRNA from 1 species
AUUAAGUUUUGUUUUAGCUCUCAGUUAAGUUAAUUUAAAAGCUAUAUAAAUAGCCAAAAUUAAAAAACAUAUAAUUUAAUAGUUAGAAUUAAUAAACUGAGGAAACCCAGUAUUAGGACAAAUUAUAUAAAAUUAACAAAGUAUGUGCCAGCAGUUGCGGUUAUACAUACAAUUAUUUAACUUACAUUUUAAUAAAAUUAUAUUUAAUAAAAAGGCAAUUAGUGAAAAUUAAUAGGUAAAAUUUUAAAUAUUUAUUUUAAACGCCCAAAAGAUAAAGAUUAAAAAUCCCAGUAAAGUAAACUAGGAUUAGAUACCCUACUAUAUGAAAAAAAUAAAAACAAUAGAAUAGUAAAAGAUACAAACUUCAAAAUCAAAAAAUUUGGCGGUGCUUUAAUCUAAUUAGAGAAGUCUGUAAUAUAAUUGACACCCCACAAGUGAGCCCACUUUAAAUAAAAUAUACUUAUAUAUCGCUGUUAAUAUAAAAAUUAUAAAGUUAGUUUAUUAAAACAGACCAAUCAAUAAAUCAAGUCAAGAUAUAGUUUUAUAUAGAGAAAUAUAUGGACUACAUUUAUAUUAAAUAAAAUAGAAUUCAACCCAAAAGGAUGAAGAAAAAAGAAUUUAAAAGUAAAUAUUUUGCACUAAAAUUUUAAAUUAGUAAUAAAGUAUGUACAAAUCGCCCGUCACUCUUAAAUAAAGCAAGAUAAGUCGUAACAAAGUAAGUUUACUGGAAAGUGAACUUAGAAA